GAUGAACGCUGGCGGCGUGCCUAAUACAUGCAAGUCGAGCGAACAGACGAGGAGCUUGCUCCUCUGACGUUAGCGGCGGACGGGUGAGUAACACGUGGAUAACCUACCUAUAAUACUGGGAUAACUUCGGGAAACCGGAGCUAAUACCGGAUAAUAUAUUGCACCGCAUGGUUCAAUAGUGAAAGACGGUUUUGCUGUCACUUAUAGAUGGUUCCGCGCCGCAUUAGCUAGUUGGUAAGGUAACGGCUUACCAAGGCGACGAUGCGUAGCCGAAGUGAGAGGGUGAUCGGCCACACUGGAACUGAGACACGGUCCAGAGUCCUACGGGAGGCAGCAGUAGGGAAUGGUCCGCAAUGGGCGAAAGCCUGACGGAGCAACGCCGCGUGAGUGAUGAAGGCCUUCGGAUCGUAAAACUCUGUUAUUAGGGAAGAACAGAUGUGUAAGUAACUAUGCCCGUCUUGACGGUACCGAAUCAGAAAGCCACGGCUAACUACGUG
rnacentral:rRNA from 1 species